rnacentral:rRNA from 1 species
AAUCAACGCUGGCGGCGUGCCUAACACAUGCAAGUCGAACGAGAAAGGGGAGCAAUCCCUGAGUAAAGUGGCGACCGGGUGAGUAACACGUGACUAACCUACCUUCGAGUGGGGGAUAACCUAGGGAAACCUGGGCUAAUACCGCAUAAUAUUUUUGGAGUGGAAACUCCGGAGAUCAAAGGAGCAAUUCGCUGGAAGAGGGGGUCGCGGCUGAUUAGCUAGUUGGCGGGGUAACGGCCCAUCAAGGCGAAGAUCGGUAGCCGGCCUGAGAGGGCGCACGGCCACACUGGAACUGAAACACGGUCCAGACUCCUACGGGAGGCAGCAGUGGGGAAUUUUGCGCAAUGGGGGAAACCCUGACGCAGCAACGCCGCGUGGAGGAUGAAGUCCCUUGGGACGUAAACUCCUUUCGACCGGGACGAUAAUGACGGUACCGGUGGAAGAAGCCCCGGCUAACUUCGUGCCAGCAGCCGCGGUAAUACGAGGGGGGCGAGCGUUGUUCGGAAUUAUUGGGCGUAAAGGGCGCGUAGGCGGUGCGGUAAGUCACCUGUGAAACCUCUGGGCUUAACUCAGAGCCUGCAGGCGAAACUGCCGUGCUGGAGGGUGGGAGAGGUGCGUGGAAUUCCUGGUGUAGCGGUGAAAUGCGUAGAUAUCAGGAGGAACACCUGUGGCGAAAGCGGCUCACUGGACCACAACUGACGCUGAUGCACGAAAGCUAGGGGAGCAAACAGGAUUAGAUACCCUGGUAGUCCUAGCCCUAAACGAUGAUUGCUUGGUGUGACGGGUACCCAAUCCCGCCGUGCCGUAGCUAACGCGUUAAGCAAUCCGCCUGGGGAGUACGGUCGCAAGGCUG